CACCGCCCGUCACAAUAUGGGAACUGGUCAUGUUCGAAGUCGUUACCUUAACCGUAAAGAGGAGGAUGCCAAAGGCAGGACUAGUGACUGGAGUGAAGUUAUAACAAGGUAACUGUAGAUAUGCUG
rnacentral:ncRNA from 1 species